rnacentral:lncRNA from 1 species
GGUCUUCCUAACAUUUGACAUAACUAGUAAGCCUUACAUCCUGAAUGUAUAAGGGCUCCCAAAUAAGGACCUGGGAACACACGGGAGGGCUGGGACCACAACCACCUUAUAGGCAUGAUGAUAGAAUGAAAAGCCAGAGCCCCUUCGUUAAAGACCGGGCGAGAGAGAAAAGACAGAUUCCCGUUCGUUAAGGGAUAAAGGGCCCGGCUAUAGGUUUAACCCUGACAUCCUGCCGUUUCCAAUUCUACCCCGUCGUCAUGACAGGCUCUCUUGCUCGCAGGAUAUCCCACACAAGCCCCAGAUCCGUACGUUUCCCAGGCACAAUGUAGUUCACAUCCAGACAGGCUUUGGAAAAUGCAUGCGAACUAAUGGAUUUUUGUAGCAUCGCUACUAUAUCUGUCAUGUUACUG